AAUCUUGGUUAUAGGUGAAACUAAAGGGGGCUAUACGAAAUCUUGCCCACAUAUGGGGGUUAAGUGGAAAUUUUCCUUUUAUUUGCUAAUAAAAGUCAGUAGCCUUUUCUUCUUCAGCAAGAAGAAAAGAAACAGAGCACAGACGGGAGAAAACAGAGAAAGAAAGGGAAAGAAGAGAAGGGAAGAAAGAAAAGAAAAGAAAGAAGAAGAAAAGAAAGAAAAAGAAGGAAAGGGAAAGGAAGAGAAAAGGGAUUUAUAGGAAAAGGGAAUAGGGUAUUUCAUUUUUAUUCAAAAAAUUUUAGGGUUUGUUAUAUUUAUUCAAAUUAGGGAUUUCCAAAUUUUUGAUCAUAUUGUUUCCAAUUGGUUUAAAUAGGUGAAGAAAAAGGGAGAUUAGCAAGAGAUUUCAACUCUGACUUAGAGACUACCCAAAUCAGUACGACAGAAUUUAGUGCUCUGCUUGUGCUUUAUUUCAUGCCAAGUAUGACAGAAUCGAAUGCUCUGCCCGUGUGAGAUUUUAGUAUACCGGGUAUGACAGUUGUUUUUCUUUUGCUCUGCCUAGGUGGGGACACCCCCAGGACAUCCUCCAGAUCGUGCGGGAUAGUGUUUUGUUGGGUUGUGCCACGGUAUAACAUCUUUCGUGGAUGUUUUCAUUUGCACGCAUCUAUAUAAAUUUUUUGUUGUUUUUUUUAUAAACUUGUGAAAUGUUGAAAGGCCGGAGGCCUAAUUACAAUAUUCUCAUGACUUUUGAAAUGAGUAAAGAUGUAAAUUAUUUUGUCAUGUAUAUGAUAAGGCCGGAGGCCUGAUUACAGGUUUAUUUUAUGAUUUCUUGGCUUUAAUCAGGAUGUAUUAUGACAUAUACUUAUACAAAGGCCGGAGGCCUAUAGAUGAUAUUA